UGGGGGAUAUUGCACAAUGGGGGAAACCCUGAUGCAGCGACGCCGCGUGAGGGAAGAAGGUCUUCGGAUUGUAAACCUCUGUCUUUGGGGACGAUAAUGACGGUACCCAAGGAGGAAGCUCCGGCUAACUACGUGCCAGCAGCCGCGGUAAUACGUAGGGAGCGAGCGUUGUCCGGAAUUACUGGGUGUAAAGGGAGCGUAGGCGGGUUUGUAAGUUAAAUGUGAAAUCUAUGGGCUCAACCCAUAAACUGCGUUUAAAACUGCAGAUCUUGAGUGGAGUAGAGGCAGGCGGAAUUCCUAGUGUAGCGGUGAAAUGCGUAGAUAUUAGGAGGAACACCAGUGGCGAAGGCGGCCUGCUGGGCUCUAACUGACGCUGAGGCUCGAAAGCGUGGGUAGCAAACAGG
rnacentral:rRNA from 2 species